rnacentral:rRNA from 1 species
UACGUAGGGGGCAAGCAGUUGUCCGGAUUUAUUGGGCGUAAAGAGCGUGUAGGCGGCCAUACAGGUCCGUUGUGAAAACUGGAGGCUUAACCUCCAGACGUCGAUGGAAACCGUAUGGCUAGAGUCCGGAAGAGGAGAGUGGAAUUCCUGGUGUAGCGGUGAAAUGCGCAGAUAUCAGGAAGAACACCCGUGGCGAAGGCGGCUCUCUGGGCCGGUACUGACACUGAGGAGCGAAAGCGUGGGUAGCAAACAGG